UACGUAGGGCGCAAGCGUUGUCCGGAAUUAUUGGGCGUAAAGAGCUCGUAGGCGGCUUGUCACGUCGGGUGUGAAAGCCCGGGGCUUAACCCCGGGUCUGCAUUCGAUACGGGCAGGCUAGAGUGUGGUAGGGGAGAUCGAAUUCCUGGUGUAGCGGUGAAAUGCGCAGAUAUCAGGAGGAACACCGGUGGCGAAGGCGGAUCUCUGGGCCAUUACUGACGCUGAGGAGCGAAAGCGUGGGGAGCGAACAGG
rnacentral:rRNA from 1 species